AUGAACGCUGGCGGCGUGCUUAACACCUGCAAGUCGCACGAAGCACUUUAUUUGAUUUCCUUCGGGACUGAUUAUUUUGUGACUGAGUGGCGGACGGGUGAGUAACGCGUGGGUAACCUGCCUUGUACAGGGGGAUAACAGUUGGAAACGGCUGCUAAUACCGCAUAAGCGCACAGCAUCGCAUGAUGCAGUGUGAAAAACUCCGGUGGUAUAAGAUGGACCCGCGUUGGAUUAGCUAGUUGGUGAGGUAACGGCCCACCAAGGCGACGAUCCAUAGCCGACCUGAGAGGGUGACCGGCCACAUUGGGACUGAGACACGGCCCAAACUCCUACGGGAGGCAGCAGUGGGGAAUAUUGCACAAUGGGCGAAAGCCUGAUGCAGCGACGCCGCGUGAGCGAAGAAGUAUUUCGGUAUGUAAAGCUCUAUCAGCAGGGAAGAUAAUGACGGUACCUGACUAAGAAGCACCGGCUAAAUACGUG
rnacentral:rRNA from 1 species